GAUGAACGCUGGCGGCGUGCCUAAUACAUGCAAGUCGAGCGAACAGACGGGGAGCUUGCUCCUCUGACGUUAGCGGCGGACGGGUGAGUAACACGUGGAUAACCUACCUAUAAGACUGGGAUAACUUCGGGAAACCGGAGCUAAUACCGGAUAAUAUAUUGAACCGCAUGGUUCAAUAGUGAAAGACGGUUUUGCUGUCACUUAUAGAUGGAUCCGCGUCGCAUUAGCUAGUUGGUAAGGUAACGGCUUACCAAGGCGACGAUGCGUAGCCGACCUGAGAGGAUGAUCGGCCACACUGGAACUGAGACACGGUCCAGACUCCUACGGGAGGCAGCAGUAGGGAAUCUUCCGCAAUGGGCGAAAGCCUGAUGGAGCAACGCCGCGUGAGUGAUGAAGGUCUUCGGAUCGUAAAGCUCUGUUGUUAGGGAAGAACAAAUGUAUAAGUAACUAUGCACGUCUUGACGGUACCUAAACAGAAAGCCACGGCUAACUACGUG
rnacentral:rRNA from 1 species